UACGGAGGGGGCAAGCGUUGUUCGGAAUUAUUGGGCGUAAAGCGUAUGUAGGCGGCUAAGCAAGUCAGGCGUGCAAGCCCGUGGCUCAACCACGGAAUUGCGUUUGAAACUACUUAGCUUGAGUAUAGGAGAGGAAAGCGGAAUUCCCAGUGUAGCGGUGAAAUGCAUUGAUAUUGGGAAGAACAUCUGUGGCGAAGGCGGCUUUCUGGCCUGUUACUGACGCUGAGAUACGAAAGCCAGGGUAGCGAACGGG
rnacentral:rRNA from 1 species